rnacentral:tRNA from 1 species
GGCUUGUAGCUCAGGUGGUUAGAGCGCACCCCUGAUAAGGGUGAGGUAGGUGGUUCAAGUC